GUGUCUGGUUCGAUCAAGAACGCAGGGGGCGACCAAACAUCCUCCACCAAACCCUUGUUCAUGCAAAUUGUCCAAAUUGAAGGCCAAAUUCUGUUUCAAAACGAAAUCCGAGCACGAAAUAGUGAUCUCCACUGAAAAAGGAGUCAUAAGUUUGACGCUAAACGAGCUAGGUGGAAGCUUGAGGACGAAGCGGGUCAAACAAAUCAAUAAGGAAAAGUAAGGCAUAGUUUGGAUGCGAGGAUAAAUCGGCCUAUGAAUUAGCGAUGCUAUGAAUUAGCGAUUAUUGAGACAAGGUAUUAAAACGGGUCAAUAUGUUGAUCCGAACCAGGUACGCAUAUUGUGGGUUAUAGAUAAGUAUACAAUAGAUUGUGCAUAACCAAGGGGAAAGAUUUAAACUUAAAAGGUUUAAAUCUUCGAAAUAGGUCAAAAGAAUUAUGCGCAUAGAUUGGGUACUAGCCGCGUAAUUCAUAAAAGUUAC